GUCUCAAACCAGAGUCUGUCAAUUGGAUCUGUCAGUUACACACGGAGCAGCUUCAGGUUGUGGAUCUGCUCACGGAGCAGAAGCGCUGCAGCAUCGGACGUGAUGAAUAAGUUAAAGCGCAGCUUCUGUACGUCAGACAGUCAUUUGGAAUUGGCCUAAAAGGCCUUUGGAGCGAAGACGUGUUCGCUCUGAGCUCAGUAUCACUUCAGGGCAGAUGACUUAUUUACAGUGAGCCAAACAGAAAUAGCAAUUUCAUGCCGGCUCACAUUCCUGUUGAGCUGCUUCGUGGAAUCACAGAGACGCCCAACAACCACCUGAAGUCAGUGAGGUUUCACCUGAUGUCUCUCAGCCUCCGGAGCAACACGCGCAUCUACAAAUCCAGCAGGGUAUAUAAAUAAAACUGGACGUGACCUGAGGACAAAGACAGAGCAGAGCCGGGUGGUUGAGUUUGUGAUAAAAAGCACCUACAGCAACAAUGAAGCCUCACAUCAACGCAUCGGGCUGAAUGCUGGGUACCACUGGCUCAUCAGCGGCAACUGUGGAGCCGUCGCUAUAGCAACAGCCUCCUCCAACAAAAGGGCAGGGAUGCAGCAGCUGUAGGUCGCACAGCUGGAUGCAGCCAGACGCAAAACGCAAGCAGUGACUGAAACAAGAGCAAAUCAAGAAGCUCCUAACCUGGAAAACACCAUUGUAUCGGCUCGUACGAAGACACAGGCGCUCCAGCGUUUACUGCUCAUCUGAGCCUCAGCAGGUAGACAUUCAAUGAACAUGAGCAAACACCCAUGAUCCUGUUACACAAUGUGUGCGGAAGACAUUUUGAUAAAAGUGAUUUUCUGACUCGCGACUCAGAUGCGUUGAGUCCAGUGAGCAGAUAAAGCAGCGUUCCAGUCUGUGCCUCCACACACAUCACUGCAAUGAGUCUGAUCGCGUCAAAACCA
rnacentral:lncRNA from 1 species